GAGGAGAUGGCUCAGAGGUUAAGAGCACUGGCUGCUCUUCCAGAGGUCCUGAGUUCAAUUCUCAGCAACCACA
rnacentral:tRNA from 1 species